rnacentral:lncRNA from 1 species
GCAGUGAUGGGCCUCCCUGGCGGGCCGUCAUGGCGGACGCCACGACGGGCUCCCAUAGUUGGUUCUUUUCGGCCCGCGCGCCACCACCCUACGUGUUCACAAACGGUUACCACACACGGAGCUGCCCCUCCCUUCUUCCCCAAACCCAUCCUUGGAGGCCACUUUUUCUUUCUUCCCUCUCUGAUCUGCUCACGGUAAGGGGGGUAGCGAAAGACGAGCACUUGACCCGGGGUGGCACUGAGCAGCCGACCCGCGCAUCUCAGCAGCCGCCCUGCCUCCUUGAACUUCAGAGAGGGGAGAGCUCAGUUGCUAAGUUUUAAGAACUGCCUUCGUAGAAAGGUCAUGUGGUGUCAGGGAGGUCAUGACUGAUCGCGUCCAUGAGGACAUCCUAUUCUUGGAGUCCUUUGCAUAGACUGUUUCCGUGGCCUGGGACUACAAUUUGGGAUUUUUUCUGGACCUUACAGGAAUCAUGACUGGCAUUUUGGAUUGCGGUCCUGUAGGGUUUCAUUAGUGGUCUUAAACGACCAUGUUCUGGCAGAAUACUGAUAAUUUUGGUAGCGUGCAAUGGGGGAAACAAGUCCGCUGUAGGAAGAAAUUAUUCAAUAAAAGAAUUUCAGUUUGUGGUACUUAGGAAUGGAAAUCGCUGAGCGUUCCAACAGAGACUUUGUUAGGGUUUUUUUUCUCCUCUCUCAUGACGAAAAUAGACUGGUUAGGUUUUGCUUUUUUUUAAUUUUAUUUAUCUUUGCAUUUACACUACAUACUGUACUGGUAUAUUUGUUGUAAGAUCAAACAAGUAAGAUUUCUUUUUGUAUGGAUUAUGAGGUUUUUGAGAAAGUAUUUCUUCCUGAGAGAGUAGCCAAGAUUAAUAGGAUUGUUUUCUUAUUCAACAUGCUAUUUCCAUUUUUAGAGUGGAGUACACUUCCCCUCCCAAUAAACACUUGCUGAAUGUCAGCUCAUAAAUUGAAUGAUCUAGUUGGUUCAGUUAAAAUGUAACCCGACUUUUGAGGUGUAAAGCAACAUCCACAAACAACUAGAAUAAAAAUAAAAAUGGA